GUCCACGCCCUAAACGAUGCACACUAAUUAUUGCGGUGCUAGUCACUGCAGUAAUGCAGCUAACGCAUUAAGUGUGCCGCCUGGGGAGUACGGUCGCAAGAUUAAAACUCAAAGGAAUAGACGGGGACCCGCACAAGCGGUGGAGCAUGUGGUUUAAUUCGACGAUACGCGAAGAACCUUACCUAGCCUUGACAUUGAUAGAAUCUAAUAGAAAUAUUGGAGUGCUUGCUUGCAAGAACUUGAAAACAGGUGUUGCAUGGCU
rnacentral:rRNA from 1 species